rnacentral:rRNA from 1 species
CCCUUAGAUGUUCUGAGCCGCACGCGCGCUACACUGAUGCAUUCAACGAGUCUAAAACCUGCUCUGAUAGGGGUGGGUAAUCUUUUGAAUGUGCAUCGUGAUUGGGAUAGAUGAUUGAAAUUUUUCAUCUUCAACGAGGAAUGCCUAGUAAACGCAAGUCAUCAGCUUGCAUUGAUUACGUCCCUGCCCUUUGUACACACCGCCCGUCGCUCCUACCGAUUGAAUGAUCCGAUGAAUAUCAUGGAUUGAGGAUGCAAGUAGGUUCACCUAUCUUCAUCUUCGAGAAGUGAAGUAAAUCUUAUCAUUUAGAGGAAGGAGAAGUCGUAACA